CACUGAAGAUGUUAAGAUGGACCCUAGAAAGUUCCACGGGCACAAAGGCCUGGUCCUGACUUUACCAUCAGCUUUAACCCAAUUUAUACAUGCAAGUAUCCGCACCCCUGUGAGAAUGCCCUCAAUCCCCCGUCCGGGGACGAGGAGCCGGCAUCAGGCACACCCCUCUUUAGCCCAAGACGCCUUGCUACGCCACACCCCCAAGGGAACUCAGCAGUAAUAAACAUUAAGCCAUAAGUGAAAACUUGACUUAGUUAGGGCUAAGAGGGUCGGUAAAACUCGUGCCAGCCACCGCGGUUAUACGAGAGACCCAAGUUGAUGACUACGGCGUAAAGAGUGGUUUGGGACCCUACAAUAAAUAAAGCCAAAGACCUCCCAAGCUGUGUAACGCACCCCGGAGGGACGAAAGCCAUAACACGAAAGUAGCUUUACCCUCUAUUCCCGACGCCACGAAAGCUAAGAAACAAACUGGGAUUAGAUACCCCACUAUGCUUAGCCCUAAACUCAGAUGGGAAACAUACAAAUAACCUCCGCCAGGGUACUACGAGCGCUAGCUUAAAACCCAAAGGACUUGGGGGUGUUUAAACCCCGCCUAGGGAGCCUGUUCUAAAACCAAUAAUCCCCGU
rnacentral:rRNA from 1 species